rnacentral:rRNA from 1 species
GACGAACGCUGGCGGCGUGCUUAACACAUGCAAGUCGAACGGAAAGGCCCUGCUUUUGUGGGGUGCUCGAGUGGCGAACGGGUGAGUAACACGUGAGUAACCUGCCCUUGACUUUGGGAUAACUUCAGGAAACUGGGGCUAAUACCGGAUAGGAGCUCCUGCUGCAUGGUGGGGGUUGGAAAGUUUCGGCGGUUGGGGAUGGACUCGCGGCUUAUCAGCUUGUUGGUGGGGUAGUGGCUUACCAAGGCUUUGACGGGUAGCCGGCCUGAGAGGGUGACCGGCCACACUGGGCCUGGGAUCCCGCCCCGACUCCUACGGGAGGCAGCAGUGCGGAAUAUUGCACAAUGGGCGGAAGCCUGAUGCAGCAACGCCGCGUGCGGGAUGACGGCCUUCGGGUUGUAACCCGCUUUCGCCUGUGACGAAGCGUGAGUGACGGUAAUGGGUAAAGAAGCACCGGCUACCUACGUG